rnacentral:rRNA from 1 species
UGGGGAAUAUUGCACAAUGGAGGGAACUCUGAUGCAGCGACGCCGCGUGAACGAAGAAGGCUUUCGAGUCGUAAAGUUCUUUUAUAUGGGAAGAUAAUGACGGUACCAUAAGAAAAAGCUCCGGCUAACUACGUGCCAGCAGCCGCGGUAAUACGUAGGGGGCUAGCGUUGUCCGGAAUCACUGGGCGUAAAGGGUUCGCAGGCGGAAAUGCAAGUCAGGUGUAAAAGGCAGUAGCUUAACUACUGUAAGCAUUUGAAACUGCAUAUCUUGAGAAGAGUAGAGGUAAGUGGAAUUUUUAGUGUAGCGGUGAAAUGCGUAGAUAUUAAAAAGAAUACCGGUGGCGAAGGCGACUUACUGGGAUCAUUCUGACGCUGAGGAACGAAAGCGUGGGUAGCAAACAGG